ensembl:lncRNA
CCAUUUUGUACAAUUCUUCAGGGCUCCUUUCUUCUUGCUAGUUGGGGUUCUGCCCGAUUUAUGAAUCACUUAAGAAAGCCAAUCAGAUCUUCAAAUUUACUCAGUUGAAUUUUUGUUUUUAACACAUUGAUUAUUUCAUUUCAGCUAACUGUAUUGUUAUUGGGGUGAAUGAGGCAGAGGAGGGGAUAGACUAGUUAGGAGUGGUGGGCCGGAGUUGUUGGAUGUAUGUAAGGAACACAAACAGGUUCUAAGGAAGUUUACAAGAGUUAGUAACUGCUUAAAUGAAGUAGGAAUUGAAGUUUCUUCAACUGAGUGGAUGAUGGUACCACUAACUCCUGAGACUAUAAGGAUAAGGUAGUAGUCAGGAGGGAUAAAGAAAGACAUAAAGACCAUAGUUUGGCUGGGCUGAUUUUGAGGCACAUAAAGGAUAUUCUCUAUCAUCUAUCUAUCUAUCUAUCUAUCUAUCUAUCUAUCUUUCCUCCUUCCUCCCUCCUUUCUUCCUCCCUCCCCCCUCCUUCCUUCCUUUCUUUUUAUUUAUUUAUUUAUUUAUUUAUUUAUUUAUUUAUUUAUUCCAGAGAGAGAGAAGAGGAAGAGCAGAGGGAGAGAGAUAAGCCUGGGGCUCCAUCUCAGGGGCUGGAUCUCAGGACCCUGAGAUCAUGACCCGAGCCAAAACCAAGAGUCGAUGCUUAACCAACUGAAUGACCCAGGCACCCCUCUUCUUCUUCUUCUUUUUUUUUUAAGUAGACACCACACCCAAGGUGGAGUCCAACACAGGGCUUGAACUCACUACCCUAAGAUCAAGACCUGAGAUCAAGAGUGAGACACUUAACUGACUGAACCACCCAGGCACCCCUCCAGAAACAUGUUUCAAUUUUUUACCUUGAAAUAAAAUACCACAAUACUUUCUAUAGGAACUACACCUUGAUAAUUUCAGAGGCCACUAUCUCCCCUGGCAUUAUCUCUCGUGUGACUAUGGCUGACGGUUGUGACUCCCUGGGCUCUCUGAGACAGAAUCACCAGGAGGUUGAGGAGGCCUGGGGAAACUUGGGUUGCAGUCCUAUUUGGCAAGAAAAUUUUCAGUACAACCAGAGGCCACCAACAGAUGUAAUCAUGCCGCUGAGCAUACAGACGCCAUAGGAUUUGGUAUCCUUAAAGAACUUUCUAAAGUGGGCAAAGAUGAUCAAAAGGUAACAAACUUCCAGUUAUAAGAUAAAUAAGUUGUGGGAUGUAAUGUACAGCAUGACGACUAUAGUUAACAAUAUGGUAUUGUAUAUUUGAAAGCUGUUGUUUACUUAACAAGAAGAAGACACCUGGUUGGCUCAGUUAGUACAGCUUCCAACUCUUGAUCUUGGGGUCAUGAGUUUAAGCCCAAUGUUGGGCACAGAGAUUACCUUAGGAAAAAAAAAGGAAAGUUGCUAAGAGAGUAGAUCUUAAAAGUUCUCAUAAUAAGAAAAAAUAUUUGUAAAUAUGUGCGGUGAUAGAUGUUAACUGAACUUAUUGUAAUAAUUAUUUUGACAUAUAUGAUAUAUAUAUGUUAUGUUGCAUACCUAAAACUAAUACAAUGUUAUAUGUCAAUUAUAUUGCAAUAAAACUGGAAAAAAAAAGGGCUUUCUAAGCA